rnacentral:rRNA from 1 species
UACGUAGGGUGCAAGCGUUGUUCGGAAUCAUUGGGCGUAAAGCGCGUGUAGGCGGUCAAAUAAGUCGAGUGUGAAAUCCCUGGGCUCAACCGAGGAAGUGCAUCCGAAACUAUUUGGCUGGAAGACGGUAGAGGAAGGUGGAAUUCCUAGUGUAGAGGUGAAAUUCGUAGAUAUUAGGAGGAAUACCGGCGGCGAAGGCGGCCUUCUGGACCGAUCUUGACGCUGAGACGCGAAAGCGUGGGUAGCAAACAGG